GGGCCCGCACAAGCGGUGGAGCAUGUGGUUUAAUUCGAUGCAACGCGAAGAACCUUACCUACUCUUGACAUCCACGGAAGUUUUCAGAGAUGAGAAUGUGCCUUCGGGAACCGUGAGACAGGUGCUGCAUGGCUGUCGUCAGCUCGUGUUGUGAAAUGUUGGGUUAAGUCCCGCAACGAGCGCAACCCUUAUCCUUUGUUGCCAGCGGUCCGGCCGGGAACUCAAAGGAGACUGCCGGUGACAAACCGGAGGAAGGUGGGG
rnacentral:rRNA from 1 species